CCUCAUCAUCAAAAUACGGAUUUAUGCGGUCCGGGUAUAGUUUUGACACCCGUUUACCGGUUUUACCCGGUUUAAACCAGAUACCCGUAUAAAACUAAAAACCCUAGCCCCAAGCACUUCUCCGCCUCCCCUGCGCAGACUCUCUCUCUCUCUCUCUCUCAUUAGGAACUUCGGACAACAGAGUAACCCAUUACCCAUCUCAUCGUGACCCCAUCGUCGUUACCGAAUCGUCAUCAUCUGUCUCUCUCUCUUACUCUAGUGCCGGAACCCUAGCUCGUGCCACUCUACUGAUCGAAGAUCUAUUCUUCAUUUGUAAGAGGAUGCUGGUGGCUGUCAGGGAGGUUCCUAAUAGUCUGGGUAUGUUUUCUGAAACCCUAGCCUCCUUUGUUUUCUACGUAAAGGGUCGACUUCAGUUGAAACCCUUAACCGUAUAUUUAAGUGUUAUAUCUGUUUAAUAUUUUUAUGCUUUGAAAUGGUUGCUAGAUCUACUCUCUUUGGUUUAGAACUUGUGUUUUUUUUUUUUUUUAAUUUUUCAUUAUUUGGGCCUGUUUUGUUCUGUGUUGCCUACUAACUUUGUGAAACAUUUUGUGUACGAUACUUAUGUGUAGAUUCAAGGGCUCAACAAUUUUUUUCCCAGAACUCUGUUUUUAUUUUUUUUCAUUUUUUUUCUUUCUGUAUGCUGCUGAUUCGAGUCCAUACCUGCAGUUUCUCAAAAAUAUCGUUUUUAUUGUGAAACUUUCCUUUUUGUUUUGUUCCCAGUUCCUUUUUGUUUUGUUCCCAGUGCAAUUACCCUACUACUUGUGUUAUUUUGAUGACUCAAUAUUAAGCUUCUCCUUCUUCUUUUUGUAUCUUUUCAUUGAGUUCAUAUUUGAAAUCAUCUAAACCUUUAGGAAGAUCAACAUUUGGUAUCCAUCUGUUGAGCUUUUACAACUUAUGGAUUCUUUGUGACAUUGGUGUGUGGUGGUAUUUGUUAGAUUUUUGUCUAGCUUAGAUUCUUUGUUAUUAUUUUGUUUGUUGUGAUUGGUGGUGAAUAGGGUUUUAGAGACUUCUAUGUAUGCACCAAUUCACGUGUGACCUCCAUGUAUGUUUCACCCUUUAAUGCACUUAGAAGUUUGUUAACAUUGAUUCUUCUAUAUUAUUGUGGCUGCCCCUUGUUUCAGAGUAUUGACAAGCAUGAAUUUCACGGGCUUACAAAUUCGAGAACUUAGCCUCUUCUAUUAGAUAAUAACCUACUUACAAAUUUGUUGUGUGUGAAAGCUGGGCUACCAUCUUGUUUCUUACAGUUCCAUCCUCAUAUAUCUUAAGAUUUAGUGCAUAACAUGUGAGACAGCACAGUCAUGAGAUUACUCAUGACUGUGCUUGUGGUUCCUGUGGUUCAUCCUCAUGAGAUAUUAACCACAGUUUCAUCCACAUGCCUGUGGUUCCUCUUAUCAUUGAGAUAUUAAUCUCAAAGACUGACCAUGUCGGGAGAUUAUCAUCAUAAAAGUAGUGCUUAAGAAAUUGUAUUUGUUUAAUUUUGUUAAUUGGAUCAAAUCAAUGGCCAUUUUUUGCUGCAGUAUUGCUAGUAGAUUAUUCAAUUAAUCUUUUGUAAUUUCUUCUCUAAUUUAUCAGGUUUUUCAUUUAGGGAUUUAUCUUACAACAAAAACAUAACGGGACAACUUCCUAGUUCAAUUGGGAAUUUACAAAAACUAGGGACAAAAGCAUUAUUUGAAUUUUGGGUUGGUUAUGCAAAUCCUUUUUUGAUCUUUCUGUUUAUCUAAGAGAUAUUAUUGUUUAAAAUACGGCAUAUCAAUACUUCUCUCACAAUUUUUGGCCUCCUUGUUUAAGUUAGCUUGACUUGCAUUGCAUCUCCUUUCCCAAAAGCAGUCUCUAGUCUUCACUGUACUUUUCUGCAGCUAUCUCAAAUUUCUGGGAGAGUGGUAAAUUUUGAUUUUAACAUAUCUCGUGCUGCUCGACGUUUUGGAAUUGUAAUAGAAGCCUGAUGUGCAAGGGGAGCAGUGAAGGAGAUCUGACACCAACUAUUCCAGAUCUUCCUGAUUAAACUCAAGAUCAAUCAUGACAAUGGCUUGUAAUUUUGUAUUUUGUAAUGUAAUGUAUAAAAUAUCAAAUAAUGUAAUAUAUAGUAGUGAGUUGCAUU